rfam:Musca domestica strain aabys unplaced genomic scaffold Scaffold4, whole genome shotgun sequence.
AAUGGCCACGCGUAUUCUUAGGUUACUAACAUGUAUUUGUUAUUGUUAUUGCUUGAGAAUACACGUAGUUAAC